GUAGAGACAGCGUUUUACCAUGUUGGCCAAGCUGGUCUCAAACUCCCGACCUCAAAUGAUCUGCCCACCUCGGCCUCCCGAAGUGCUGGGAUUACAGGUGUGAGCCACCACACCCGGCCAAGAAUUGUCAUUAUUUACCAAGCUAAUGGUUCCCUGCAAGAUCCCACUGGCAAAGCUCUCUGUAUUUGACCUGGCUCUGAGAUAAACCAUGCAAAAAGCCUUCACUCUGGGGGUCCUUUGUUGACAACAGCUACAGGAAGGUAUUUUAGCUUCAUGGAUGCCUGAGGCAGUGAGUGACAGUUGAGACAAAUAGACUAAACCAAAAGCUAGGGAAGGAGCUGUCUAUAGAGGCUUUGAAAGGCUCAGAUAAGGCUGGGUGCAGUGGCUUAUGCCUGUAAUCCCGGCACAUUGGCAGGCCAAGGAGGGUGGAUCACGAGGUCAGUAGUUCAAGACCAGCCUGCCAA
rnacentral:lncRNA from 10 species